GAAAUGCGAUAAGUAAUGUGAAUUGCAGAAUUCAGUGAAUCAUCGAAUCUUUGAACGCACCUUGCACUCCUUGGUAUUCCUUGGAGAAUGCCUGUUUGAGUAUCAUGAAAUCUUCAAAGUAAAUCUUUUGUUAACUCAAUUGGUUUCUACUUUGGUAUUGGAGGUCUUUGCAGCUUCACACCUGCUCCUCUUUGUUCAUUAGCUGGAUCUCAGUGUUAUGCUUGGUUCCACUCGGCGUGAUAAGUUAUCUAUCGCUGAGGACACUGUAAAAGGUGGCCAAGGUAAAUGCAGAUGAACCGCUUCUAAUAGUCCAUUGACUUGGACAAUACUUUUAUGAUCUGAUCUCAAAUCAGGUAGGACUACCCGCUGAACUUAAGC
rnacentral:misc_RNA from 1 species